rnacentral:rRNA from 1 species
AUGUUACGCCGGCGUUUUGUGAAUCUGGUAGCGCAGAAUUCCGACGGCGUUUAUUCGCUGCGCCGCAUCGAAGCGGCCAAGCAUCUUUUCUACCCGUCAAUAAAAGAAGCAGAAGAGUCAGCAAACGACGAGAAGAAGAAAUACAAGACCUUGCGGCGGCUGCCUGACCCGAUCACGAGCUUCGAUCCGUCCCCCGUCGGUGUGUUGUUUCCUGGCCUGGAAUGGUUCGAGCUCCUCGCACCCCGCAGCGGCGAGGGUCGGAUCGUCAACUCCAACAAGGCUGGCCACACCGCCAUGUUCGACGCCGACAAGUCUCUCUAUCUCGCGCUGCCCAACCUCUCCCAGGCCAAAGGCACGAGCCCAGUGAGCUUCUCCGUCACCCACCCAGGCAGCGGGCAGGAUAGCCUCUACGUCUUGCACAGGUAUCCUGGUCAAGCUGUUGCCCAGGCUCGGUUUGUACCCGACCGAAGCGAGCACCCCCGCUCCUGCUUCGAGGUUCUUGAGUACAAGGGCCUGUCCAAUGAUGGCAACGUCCCUAACAAGGGCUGGGAUUGGCGGCUUCUUCCUCCUCCUCCAUUUGUCCGUGAACCUGGAUACCAGCCCUCCAUGAUUAACUCCCACACAACAAUCAAGGACGCCAAUGGCUGUACCACUAUCUGCAUAUCGUCCGACAAGAUCGGCACCCACUGCUUUGACACGUGGUGCUUCGAUUCUACCCACCAUCUUAGGUGGAAGCACCUGGACGUGUGGAAGCAAGUUGGGGAGUGGGAACUGCCGUUCUAUGGGAGAGCCGAGCAUGUUCCCGAACUGGGCAUAUUGUUGGGCUUCACGGCCGGCAGAAAACCUCACCACCUAUGCGCUGUGGACCUCUCCACCAUGGACAUGGAUGGCCAAGCACCCACAUGGCAGCACGUCUGGGACAAUGCCACCCUGCCUGGCGAGAAGAAUUGGUACCCUCUGUUUUUCAGGCUCAUCAACAUGGGUGACAACAGGUUUUGCGUGGCCAAGCUCUUUGGAGAUGUUGAAAUGGGCAAGCAGUUUGCUGUUCUUACCGGCAUAGAGAUGGAGCGUGGCCAAGACGGCCUCCGGAUGGUCCAGCACAAGCGCACUCGUUACGUAUUCAAUCGCAUCGAUGUCAAGUGGGUGCUCUGA